GAACUCUCCACACCCAAUAGCUGGAGUGGAGGAAUUUUCUCUGCCAGGUUUGACAUAGAAUGAUUCACCUGGAUGCUGGAUACAGAAGGCCUCCAAUCUGCCAAAAAGGCCUCAUGAACAUAAGCUUCCUCAUUUCUGUCUGUACAAUUAUCUGCACCACAAUUUCCUUCGAUGGCGCUGUCAGCAACAUCAUCCUUCUUUCUGGAAGAAAUAUG
rnacentral:misc_RNA from 1 species